UCGGAGGAUAGGCUCUCGCCACUCGGCCUGCGGGUCCCUGUCCGGCCGAGGGCCUCCCGGGGAGGUUGCGGGCGGCGAGGGGUGCCUCCGGCCGCACGCCCAUUCUUGUCUACUGACCCGGUUGCCUCGGCGGGCCGCGCCUGCUGUGCUACAGCGGCCGUUCGGGGGGGACGCCUGAGGGGGACUCUUGUUUCCUAGGCCACGCCCCGGGCAGCGCUCGCCGGAGGAUUACUCUGGAAAACACACUCUUGAAAGAACAUACCGUCUGAGCGAGCAACGCAAAUCAGUUAAAACUUUCAACAACGGAUCUCUUGGUUCCGGCAUCGAUGAAGAACGCAGCGAAAUGCGAUAAGUAAUGUGAAUUGCAGAAUUCCGUGAAUCAUCGAAUCUUUGAACGCACAUUGCGCCCCCUGGCAUUCCGGGGGGCAUGCCUGUUCGAGCGUCAUUUCAACCCCUCAAGCCCGGCUUGUGUGAUGGACGACCGUCCCCCCUCCCCAGUAACCACCCACCGCUUAGGGGGGUGGGAGGGAGGGGGACGCGCCCGAAAAAGCAGUGGUCAGGCCGCGAUUCCGGCUCCUGGGCGAGUGGGACAUACCACCGCCUCCAGGACCGGCCGGCAGGCUGGCCUAACGCAGCGAUGUAUUAUUCAUGUUGACCUCGGAACAUGUAAGGCAUCCCGGCUGAACAUACGCAUAUCAAUAGCCGGACGAUCAGUCACGUCGCCUUAUUGGUAUGCCCCUAGGUUCGACUAACCAACUCUCCUCCGCUUAUGAAUAGCCCCCCGGUCACAUAACAAACUCCCGCCUUAAUAGAAGAGCCCCACGUCUAGAUCGAAAGGCUCUUCCUAUAAUGUUAUGA
rnacentral:rRNA from 1 species